AUACGGAGGGUGCAAGCGUUAUUCGGAAUCACUGGGCGUAAAGGACGCGUAGGCGGGUUGGCAAGUCAGAUGUGAAAUCCUACAGCUUAACUGUAGAACUGCAUUUGAAACUGCUAACCUAGAGUAUGGGAGGGGGAGAUGGUAUUAGUGGUGUAGGGGUAAAAUCCGUAGAUAUCACUAGGAAUACCGAAAGCGAAGGCGAUCUCCUGGAACAUAACUGACGCUAAGGCGUGAAAGCGUGGGGAGCAAACAGGAUUAGAAACCCUUGUAGUCC
rnacentral:rRNA from 1 species